UGAGGAGUGAACAUAUUCUACGCACUCGUGACCCUGGGAUCAAACACCUGCUCCAGGUCCUCGGCCAUCUCCACAGAGCAAACCAGAAAUCUGUAGAGACCCAGACAGUUCCAGACAGUACCUUUUGUAUGGAGGAGGGUAACUUCAAACUCAUAUUUCUAGAGGAGGACGUAAAGCUUUGGCGUUUAUGGUCAAAGCAGGAUGUGGAUCAGACACCUGCCAUCUUUUGUCGUUACCCAUUCUUGAUGAAUCUGCAGAGCAAGAUAAGCGUUUUUAACAUCAACGCCGCACUU